rnacentral:rRNA from 1 species
UGGGGAAUAUUACACAAUGGGCGCAAGCCUGAUGCAGCCAUGCCGCGUGUGUGAAGAAGGCCUUCGGGUUGUAAAGCACUUUCAGCGGGGAGGAAGGCGAUAAGGUUAAUAACCUUGUCGAUUGACGUUACCCGCAGAAGAAGCACCGGCUAACUCCGUGCCAGCAGCCGCGGUAAUACGGAGGGUGCAAGCGUUAAUCGGAAUUACUGGGCGUAAAGCGCACGCAGGCGGUUUGUUAAGUCAGAUGUGAAAUCCCCGGGCUCAACCUGAGAACUGCAUCUGAUACUGGCAAGCUUGAGUCUCGUAGAGGGGGGUAGAAUUCCAGGUGUAGCGGUGAAAUGCGUAGAGAUCUGGAGGAAUACCGGUGGCGAAGGCGGCCCCCUGGACGAAGACUGACGCUCAGGUGCGAAAGCGUGGGGAGCAAACAGG